rnacentral:rRNA from 1 species
GAUUAACGCUGGCGGCGUGCCUAACACAUGCAAGUCGAGCGGCAGCGAGUUUUACACUGAAUUCUGGAAGCUUCUAGUUGAAAGAGAAGAUUUAUUCAAGAAUUUUGUGUAAAAUGUCGGCGAGCGGCGGACGGCUGAGUAACGCGUGGGAACGUACCCCAAAGUGAGGGAUAACGCAUCGAAAGGUGUGCUAAUACCGCAUAUGGUCUUCGGAUUAAAGCCUUCGGGCGCUUUGGGAACGGCCUGCGUAAGAUUAGAUAGUUGGUGGGGUAAUGGCCUACCAAGUCGACGAUCUUUAACUGGUUUGAGAGGAUGAUCAGUCAGACUGGAACUGAGACACGGUCCUGACUCCUACGGGAGGCAGCAGUGAGGAAUCUUCCACAAUGGGCGAAAGCCUGAUGGAGCAACGCCGCGUGCAGGAUGAAGGCCUUCGGGUUGUAAACUGCUUUUAUAAGUGAGGAUUAUGACAGUAACUUAUGAAUAAGGAUCGGCUAACUACGUG